GGCACUUUGGCGGAGUGGUUAACGCGAUGCCCUGCUAAGGCAUUUUCUUCGGGAGCGUGUGUUCGAAUCACACAGGUGUCG